CCUACGGGUGGCAGCAGUGAGGAAUAUUGGUCAAUGGACGGGAGGCUGAACCAGCCAAGUCGCGUGAGGGAUGACUGCGCUGUGGGUUGUAAACCUCUUUUGUAGGGGGAUAAAAGGUUCCACGCGUGGGGUUCUGAGGGUACCCGAAGAAUAAGCAUCGGCUAACUCCGUGCCAGCAGCCGCGGUAAUACGGAGGAUGCGAGCGUUAUCCGGAUUUAUUGGGUUUAAAGGGUGCGCAGGCGGACCGUUAAGUCAGCGGUAAAAUUGAGGGGCUCAACCCCGUCGAGCCGUUGAAACUGGGGGUCUUGAGUGGAAGAGAAGUAUGCGGAAUGCGUGGUGUAGCGGUGAAAUGCAUAGAUAUCACGCAGAACCCCGAUUGCGAAGGCAGCAUGCCGGCUCCCCACUGACGCUGAGGCACGAAAGCGUGGGGAUCGAACAGGAUUAGAUACCCCGGUAGUC
rnacentral:rRNA from 1 species